GCUUAAUUGGUUGAACAUCUGACUUCAGCUCAGGUCAUGAUCUCAUAUUUUGUGAGUUCGAGCCUCGCAUUGGGCU
rnacentral:tRNA from 1 species